rfam:Triticum aestivum genome assembly, contig: Triticum_aestivum_CS42_TGACv1_scaffold_577173_7BL
AAAUUACUCCCUCGGUCCGGAAAUACUUGUCGGAGGAAUUGAUGUAUCUAAAUGUAUUUUAGUUUUAGAUGCAUCCAUUUAUAUUCAUUUCUGCGACAAGUAUUUUCAGACAGUGGGAGUACCUC